UUUAAAGAAAAACAAAAGCCAUAAAGAAUGAUAAAAUAAAGGUAGAUAACGAGAAAAAAGAAAAGAACAGAGAUGGAUACGAAAAAAUAAUAAUAAUAAGGAGCGUAGAAGAUAAAAAAAAAUAAGUGUAGACAAAAAUCAGGAUGAUGUUAAAGUGACCUCGCUGCCCUAAAAAACUGGUAGAACUGAACAUGAAUUUAGGACAAUUUUACCAAUGUGAUUCCCAUGCUUGUUGUGUGCCCUAAUCCUAACGGAUGUCGUCUUUGAUGAGCAUGUUCUUUCA
rnacentral:lncRNA from 1 species